UAGGGAAUCUUCCACAAUGGACGCAAGUCUGAUGGAGCAACGCCGCGUGAGUGAAGAAGGUUUUCGGAUCGUAAAGCUCUGUUGUUGGUGAAGAAGGAUAGAGGCAGUAACUGGUCUUUAUUUGACGGUAAUCAACCAGAAAGUCACGGCUAACUACGUGCCAGCAGCCGCGGUAAUACGUAGGUGGCAAGCGUUGUCCGGAUUUAUUGGGCGUAAAGCGAGCGCAGGCGGAAUGAUAAGUCUGAUGUGAAAGCCCACGGCUCAACCGUGGAACUGCAUCGGAAACUGUCAUUCUUGAGUGCAGAAGAGGAGAGUGGAACUCCAUGUGUAGCGGUGGAAUGCGUAGAUAUAUGGAAGAACACCAGUGGCGAAGGCGGCUCUCUGGUCUGCAACUGACGCUGAGGCUCGAAAGCAUGGGUAGCGAACAGGAUUAGAUACCCUGGUAGUC
rnacentral:rRNA from 1 species